UGAGGAAUAUUGGUCAAUGGGCGGAAGCCUGAACCAGCCAAGUCGCGUGAGGGAAGACGGUCCUAUGGAUUGUAAACCUCUUUGCAGGGGAGCAAGACGCGGUACGUGUACCGUGCUGGAGAGUACCCUGAGAAAAAGCAAUCGGCUAACUCCGUGCCAGCAGCCGCGGUAAUACGGAGGAUGCGAGCGUUAUCCGGAUUUAUUGGGUUUAAAGGGUGCGUAGGCGGACUGGUAAGUCAGCGGUCAAAUCGAGGGGCUCAACCCCUUUCCGCCGUUGAAACUGCCGUGCUUGAGUGGGCGAGAAGUAUGCGGAAUGCGUGGUGUAGCGGUGAAAUGCAUAGAUAUCACGCAGAACUCCGAUUUGCGAAGGCAGCAUACCGGCGCCGCACUGACGCUGAGGCACGAAAGCGUGGGGAUCGAACA
rnacentral:rRNA from 1 species